rnacentral:pre_miRNA from 1 species
ACAACAUCCGGACCGUCGGUCUAUCGAGCAAUAUUACCCGCUCGGUGGAAGAUCUUCCCUUUGUCGU